UGAAGGUUGAAUUGUUUGUCGAAAGUUCAGAGAAAGACGUAGUCAGGUAAUAACAUAUUACAUUCUACAAUAUACACAUUAUCAUUUGCGGCAAAAUUCUUUUUCUUCCUGUUCCCUAUAUUCUGAGUUGGUAUGCUCAAAAGCUUUUUAAUCAUAUACGCUUUAAUAAAAUAAUUUGAUCGUUUUAUAAACAAGAAAUUUUAUCCUGAUUCCAUUAUUGUUUCAUAAACAUGAUGCUGAUAUUUAAUCCUUUAAUAUUUUCUUGUUUAUAAUUUUUUGACAUAGUUCGUUAGAUUGUCUAAUAAAUCUGCCUUUUUACCGCUCACUCUAAGUCCACGAUCCCUGAGAAUAUCUUUAAGUUGACUAACUUUUAACGCCUUCAUAUGAACUGUUACUAAUCAAGAUCUUACAAGAUAAAUGAAGUACUUACUUUUAUCUCCUUGUCCAAAACUCCUUCGAUGUAAAGCUGCUUCAGACGAUCAUCUUCAGCAAAUAUAGGUUUUCCACUCUUUUCUAUUCGAGCCUUUUUCACAAUUGGUCCCUGAUCCUCUUCUUCCUCUUUUAUUCCGUUUUUAUCAGAAAUAUCGUUACGAUAUUCAGCGACAAUAUUAUUAACAUCGCCCAUGUACUCCCCGACGCGCUAAAAUGUUAACAUGGUUGUACAAGGCAACUAAAGCUUUCAUACCUUUUGAAUAGCUUUGUAUUUUGGUAGAGUAUUAUCAACAAAGUCAGUCGGAAUUUCUUCGUCAAGCGCCAGCGCUUGGAGAACUUUGUAAUGCCACUGCAAAGAUGGGUUGUUAUAUUUUCCUGGCUGGUAUGAACGCAGCUCCAUACCACGUAAAAUACGUUGCAUCGUUUCGAUUAAAUUGCUAGGCAUGGAUAUCGGAUUCGGAUUGAUAGGCGGGAGACUACGGAUAUCAUCUGCUGUUGGAAGUUGAACAAGAAAUAUACCUAGCGGUAAUUCAAAAUCGUCUCGAAUGUGAAUAGACCCCGGUGUCGCUAGCAUAGCAACAAAACAAGGGUUAGCAUUUGGUCUCGAAACAAACCAUGCAAUACCAAUUUUGUUUGAAGCCAGCAGCUUUUUAUGGAUGGCGGAGAAAACGGCACCACUUCCAAUUAUUUCAUCAUCUUUCGGCCUCAAAAAUACAGCAGGCUUUAAGCAGUGCCAGGGUUUUAGAGUUGAAAAGUCACGAAACCCAAUUAUCCGUAAUGUAGGAGGCUCAAAUGAUCUCACCUUGUUAAGUUCAUCUGAGCCAAAGACAACAGAUGAUCCCCCGUAGCUAUACGAUCUUCUUAUUUCAUCCUUUUUAAGCUCCUUUUUCGUAGCAAAACUGACUUGUUUGCUUUGAGGAACUGCUACGGCAAAUCGCUCACCUUUUGCAUACACCCAAUUAGUUUUGGCUGAUUCUAAACGUUUCAACAAGAUAAAGGCCUCAACUCCAAUUCUCACGUCGUUACCAAGAUCCAUUUUCAAAUGAAAAUGAGCUCUUUUCGGUUUUUGUAAAGCUGUAAUCAUAUUGAGCAUAUGUUGCAGCUGAGCUUGACCCCUGUUGACUAGAUUAGACACAUCUUGCCUACCAUAAACGAUAUAUAAAAAGUCAGAAUAAAAUAUGUUUAUUCUAAAGGAAUGUGUAGGCGGAUCCAAAAAUACUGGAUGAACUUGAAUAUCCAAGUCCCUUAAAUCUUUAGCACGCUGCAAAAUAAUAUCGCGUUCAGUUGCAUCCCAAGCAGGAUGGUCAUUAUCUGU